rnacentral:rRNA from 1 species
UACGUAGGGGGCAAGCGUUGUCCGGAAUCAUUGGGCGUAAAGCGCGUGUAGGCGGCUCGAUAAGUCUGCUGUGAAAGUCCAGGGCUCAACCCUGGAAUGCCGGUGGAAACUGUCGAGCUAGAGUCCGGAAGAGGCGAGUGGAAUUCCUGGUGUAGAGGUGAAAUUCGUAGAUAUCAGGAGGAACACCGGUGGCGAAGGCGGCGUUCUGGACUGCAACUGACACUGAGGAACGAAAGCCAGGGGAGCAAACGGG